GACGAACGCUGGCGGCGUGCUUAACACAUGCAAGUCGAACGGAAAGGCCCUGCUUUUGUGGGGUGCUCGAGUGGCGAACGGGUGAGUAACACGUGAGUAACCUGCCCUUGACUUUGGGAUAACUUCAGGAAACUGGGGCUAAUACCGGAUAGGAGCUCCUGCUGCAUGGUGGGGGUUGGAAAGUUUCGGCGGGUGGGGAUGGACUCGCGGCUUAUCAGCUUGUUGGUGGGGUAGUGGCUUACCAAGGCUUUGACGGGUAGCCGGCCUGAGAGGGUGACCGGCCACAUUGGGACUGAGAUACGGCACAGACUCCUACGGGAGGCAGCAGUGGGGAAUAUUGCACAAUGGGCGGAAGCCGGAUGCAGCAACGCCGCGUGCGGGAUGACGGCCUUCGGGUUGUAAACCGCUUUCGCCUGUGACGAAGCGUGAGUGGCGGUAAUGGGUAAAGAAGCACCGGCUAACUACGUG
rnacentral:rRNA from 1 species